CGAAGACAGAUUGUAUGGUUACGGAUAUGGAGAGGAAAACAACUGAGGUACAGGAAGAGAGACAGGAAACACUUCUGGCCGGGCUACACGUUUUAAGGAUUCCUCACCUGUGUUCUCUAGAAAAAAUCUGGAGUGAUUUUGAAGUAUAGAUGUAACCAUCAGCUCCACUGUUCCAUCAAUGUUUGGGGAUCGGAUGAUGGAUCAAAGUUCAAGAAAAGGAAAACAGAAGGUAGAGGAAUAAUGUUCCUGAC
rnacentral:lncRNA from 1 species